AUACGAAGGGGGCUAGCGUUGUUCGGAUUUACUGGGCGUAAAGCGCACGUAGGCGGAUUGAUCAGUUAGGGGUGAAAUCCCGAGGCUCAACCUCGGAACUGCCUUUAAUACUGUCAGUCUCGAGACCGGAAGAGGUGAGUGGAACUCCUAGUGUAGAGGUGGAAUUCGUAGAUAUUAGGAAGAACACCAGUGGCGAAGGCGGCUCACUGGUCCGGUACUGACGCUGAGGUGCGAAAGCGUGGGGAGCGAACAGGAUUAGAUACCCUAGUAGUCC
rnacentral:rRNA from 1 species